UACGGAGGGUGCAAACGUUGCUCGGAAUCAUUGGGCGUAAAGCGCACGUAGGCGGCUUCUUAAGUCGGGUGUGAAAGCCCUCGGCUCAACCGAGGAAGUGCAUUCGAAACUGAGGGGCUUGAAUACUGGAGAGGAUGGCGGAAUUCCCGGUGUAGCGGUGAAAUGCGUAGAUAUCUGGAGGAACACCGGUGGCGAAGGCGGCAUCCUGGACCAACACUGACGCUGAGUGAGCGAAAGCCAGGGGAGCAAACGGG
rnacentral:rRNA from 1 species